rnacentral:rRNA from 1 species
AACGAACGCUGGCGGCAUGCCUAACACAUGCAAGUCGAACGAGACCUUCGGGUCUAGUGGCGCACGGGUGCGUAACGCGUGGGAACCUGCCUUUAGGUUCGGAAUAACUCAGAGAAAUUUGAGCUAAUACCGGAUAAUGUCUUCGGACCAAAAGAUUUAUCGCCUUUAGAUGGGCCCGCGUAAGAUUAGCUAGUUGGUGGGUAAAGGCCUACCAAGGCGACGAUCUUUAGCUGGUCUGAGAGGAUGAUCAGCCACACUGGGACUGAGACACGGCCCAGACUCCUACGGGAGGCAGCAGUGGGGAAUAUUGGACAAUGGGCGAAAGCCUGAUCCAGCAAUGCCGCGUGAGUGAUGAAGGCCUUAGGGUUGUAAAGGCUCUUUUACCCGUAGAUGAUAAUGACAGUAUCGGGAGAAUAAGCUCCGGCUAACUCCGUGCCAGCAGCCGC